rnacentral:rRNA from 1 species
UACGUAGGGGGCAAGCGUUGUCCGGAUUUAUUGGGCGUAAAGAGCGUGUAGGCGGCUUGGUAGGUCCGCUGUGAAAACUCGAAGCUCAACCUCGAGAUGUCGGCGGAAACCACUUGGCUAGAGUCCGGAAGAGGAGAGUGGAAUUCCUGGUGUAGCGGUGAAAUGCGCAGAUAUCAGGAAGAACACCUAUGGCGAAGGCAGCUCUCUGGGACGGUACUGACGCUGAGACGCGAAAGCGUGGGGAGCGAACAGG